GACGAACGCUGGCGGCGUGCUUAACACAUGCAAGUCGAACGGAAAGGCCCUGCUUUUGUGGGGUGCUCGAGUGGCGAACGGGUGAGUAACACGUGAGUAACAUGCCCUUAACUUUGGGAUAACUUCUGGAAACUGGGGAUAUUACCGGAUAGGAGCUCUUGCUGCAUGGUGGGGGUUGGAAAGUUUCGGCGGUUGGGGAUGGACUCGCGGCUUAUCAGCUUGUUGGUGGGGUAGUGGCUUACCAAGGCUUUGACGGGUAGCCGGCCUGAGAGGGUGACCGGCCACAUUGGGACUGAGAUACGGCCCAGACUCCUACGGGAGGCAGCAGUGGGGAAUAUGGCACAAUGGGCGGAAGCCUGAUGCAGCAACGCCGCGUGCGGGAUGACGGCCUUCGGGUUGUAAACCGCUUUCGCCUGUGACGAAGCGUGAGUGACGGUAAUGGGUAAAGAAGCACCGGCUAACUACGUG
rnacentral:rRNA from 1 species